rnacentral:rRNA from 1 species
GACGGAGGAUGCAAGCGUUAUCCGGAAUGAUUGGGCGUAAAGCGUCCGCAGGUGGCAGUUCAAGUCUGCUGUCAAAGACCGGGGCUUAACUUCGGAAAGGCAGUGGAAACUGAACAGCUAGAGUAUGGUAGGGGCAGAGGGAAUUCCAGGUGUAGCGGUGAAAUGCGUAGAUAUCUGGAGGAAUACCGGUGGCGAAGGCGGCAUCCUGGACCGAGAUUGACGCUGAUGAGCGAAAGCUAGGGGAGCAAACGGG